rnacentral:rRNA from 1 species
UACGGGGGGAGCAAGCGUUGUUCGGAUUUACUGGGCGUAAAGGGCGCGUAGGCGGGAUGGCAAGUCAGUCGUGAAAUCUCUCGGCUCAACCGAGAAACGUCGGCUGAUACUGCCGUUCUUGAGGGAUGCAGAGGAGACUGGAAUUCCCGGUGUAGCGGUGAAAUGUGUAGAGAUCCGGCGGAACACCGGUGGCGAAGGCGGUCUCCUGGGCCGAGGGCCGACGCUGAGGCGCGAGAGCGUGGGGAGCGAACCGG